rnacentral:rRNA from 1 species
GAUGAACGCUAGCGGCAGGCUUAAUACAUGCAAGUCGAACGGUAACAGGAGAGCUUGCUCUCGCUGACGAGUGGCGAACGGGUGCGUAACGCGUAUGCAACCUACCUUACACAGGGGGAUAGCCCGGAGAAAUUCGGAUUAAUACCCCAUGGCACUAUAAAAUGGCAUCAUUUAAUAGUUAAAGCAUUGUGGUGUAAGAUGGGCAUGCGUCUAAUUAGCUAGUUGGUAAGGUAACGGCUUACCAAGGCUACGAUUAGUAGGGGGUCUGAGAGGAUUAUCCCCCACACUGGCACUGAGAUACGGGCCAG